rnacentral:tRNA from 3 species
GGAAGCGUGGCAGAGCGGUUGAAUGCAACGGUCUUGAAAACCGUCGAGGGCUUAUACCCCUCCGUGAGUUCGAAUCUCACCGCUUCCGCCA